CCUACGGGAGGCAGCAGUGAGGAAUAUUGGUCAAUGGGCGGAAGCCUGAACCAGCCAAGUCGCGUGAGGGAAUAAGGCCCUACGGGUCGUAAACCUCUUUUGCCGGGGAGCAAGGGCGGGGACGUGUCCCGGCCCGGAGAGUACCCGGAGAAAAAGCAUCGGCUAACUCCGUGCCAGCAGCCGCGGUAAUACGGAGGAUGCGAGCGGUAGCCGGAUUUAUUGGGUUUAAAGGGUGCGUAGGCGGGCUUUUAAGUCAGCGGGAAAAAUUCGGGGCUCAAACCCGUCCGGGCGUUGGAACUGGGGGCCGUGAGUGGGCGAGAAGGAGGCCGAAAGCGGGGUGGAGGGGGGAAA
rnacentral:rRNA from 1 species